CAGCCUCCCCAAUCGUCUCUUAUUUUUAGGGCAAAUCAUUUCAACCUCCCCAAUCGCCUCCAUCUCUAUUCUCGUUCUCAACUCUCUCUCUCUCUCUCUGCAAGUGCAAAACACAAGAUCUACAAGAAUCAGAAGUUCAAAACCCAUAUAUUUCAGUUUAUCUAUCUGUCUGCAAGAAUCAAAAGUUCAAAACCCAUAUCGGCAUAUGAUUUCAGAUUGUUCAAAAAAUCAAAACCCAUAUCUUUCAGUUUCCAUCGCCCGUUGUUCCAGUUCGGGUUCGCUGUUCCGCUGGCUCUCAACUCUCAAGCUUGCCCUUCUCUCUCUCUGCAACUGCUAACUUGGUUAGCAUCGGGCCUUAACAUUUAGCAACAACAAGGUUUAAGAAACAUGCCUCCUCAGUCAUCAGGUCUCUUUUCUGAAAGAAGAAAGUUGAUGGGAAUGGGUGGAGUAGGCAAAAAGGUCAGAAGUCGAAAUGGCUUAGAGCAAUAAGGUGUCUACAACAGGCUAUUUUUGUCCAUAAACCACCUCUGCCUCCAGUGGCUCGCGACUUGAUCAACUCCAACCACCAGGUGCAUGGACUGUGGAAUUUCUUAAUUAAUUCGUACAAUUACAGAUAUUGGGAUUUUGCCUGGUGUAGCACUUGGAUGGAAAAUGUAUUACAAUUGGAAGUUGUUGAAAAUAACAGAAUAAGGAGUGAAGGGGACGGAAGAAGCGGAAAAAGAAAGAAAAUCAGAUGCAUUGAAAUUGAUCGACUAUGUGGACAAGAACACCACGGUUGGUUGUGUCCAAAAAUCUUAUUUGUUAACAAAUUAGUUGUAAUCUGAUUUCAUUGCAAUUCUUCAGGAAGUUGAAGCCAUAAGUGUUGCCAUUGAGGAACAGGCCAAAAGGUUAGCCUUAACAUUUAGCAAGAACAAGGUUCAAAAAACAUGCCUCCUCAGUCAUCAGGUCUUUUUUAAUAGAAAGAAGAGAGUUGAUUAGAAUGGGUGGAGUAGGAAAUACGAAAAUAGUAUGGGCUUGGUACAGGCAAACAGUUAUCAGCAAGCAGCAGAACAGCUGGCAGAAGAAAGGAGUCGUUGCAGCAUCAUUUGAUGUUCAUCCGAGUUAUGCUCAAAUUCGAAAUUGGCUCAGUUCUGGAAACUGAAUUUAUUCUACUGGUGCUAGAAACAUUGUAUUUUCAGACGACAAUUUCUUUCCUUAUUGACGAGUUUGUGUACAAAACCCCUCUUGCAGAAGCUUCACUCAUUUACACCUCCCUGCUACUCUUCGGUCUCUUCUCAAAUAGACAUCGUUUCUACCAUUAUCUCCAUUGCCAAUAUGCUACGUUCUGUUUUUUUUCAUGAAACUGACAAUGUGUUACAGAUUUUGUAUGAAGCCGUGAGUUGCAUUCAGCUGGUUUAAUUGUAAAAUUGAGACACACUGGCAAUUGCAAAGAUUGAACUCCUCAAGUAAUUGAGUUUUCAUAAUGUAAAUCUAUGCAGAUGUAAUAUAUUGAUCUAA